UGUCGUUCUACUUACUGCCCGCAGCAUACGCCCUGAGGCUCUGAUGAGCAGAAUUAAUAGAUUAAAGCUUCAAGCAAGUCCAAUCAUUUUCACUUCAGCGAUCGUGCGAACUUGGCGUCAGUGUAAGAGACAGGACUGAAGCUACGCACCGUUCAACGAAAAAUCGUUCUGAUUUAAGAGAGUUUGAAGGAAUAUAAGCAGCAUGGUGGCCGUCUUCAUCGCACUUUUCGUGCUCCUACUGACGGGCAUCUUUUGGUGGGUUUGGCGUACCUUUACCUUUUGGAAUGGCAAAGGAAUCCCAUAUCUUACUUUCUGGCAGUACAUGCACUUCGCCUACGACAUUUACACCAAGCCACUCAACGAGGUACUCCGCCGUGCCUAUACGCGACAUGGUCGUUUGUACGGGUAAG